GGUUGGUCAGAGUGCAGUGGUGUUUACAACUAAUUUAUUACAAUCAGUUACAGAUUCCUUUGUUCCUUCUCCACUCCCACUGCUCCACUUGACCAGCCUUAA
ensembl:misc_RNA Y_RNA Y RNA